rnacentral:lncRNA from 1 species
CCCAGCAGAAGGGAGGAGUUAAGCAGCUCCAGAGUUUUCCCAGGAUCGGGAGAGCAGCAAAUCCAACAUUGCAGCUGCCCCAGGAGCUGCCAGGGAAAACUGGGAACGCCGGAAGUCACCGGCAGCAAAUCCAAAGUGACAGCGACAGGAAACAUUUACAGAGCCCCCGGCAGAGCUGGGAUCCGGGAUUUGGGAUUUGGGGAAUGGCAGAGCUGGGAUUUGGGGAAUGGCAGUUCUGGGAUUUGGGAUUUGGGGAAUGGCAGCUCUGGGAUUUGGGAUUUGGGGAAUGGCAGAGUUGGGAUUUGGGAUUUGGGAAUGGCAGCUCUGGGAUUUGGGGAUUUGGGGAAUGGCAGCUCUGGGAUUUGGGAUUUGGGGAAUGGCAGCUCUGGGAUUUGGGAUUUGGGAGCUGGGAUUUGGGAAUGGCAGCUCUGGGAUUUGGGAUUUGGGGAUGGCAGCUCUGGGAUUUGGGAUUUGGGGAAUGGCAGAGUUGGGAUUUGGGAUUUGGAGAAUGGCAGAGUUGGGAUUUAGGGAAUGGCAGCUCUGGGAUUUGGGAUUUGGGGAAUGGCAGCUCUGGGAUUUGGGAUGGAAUGGCAGCUCUGGGAUUUGGGAUUUGGGAAUGGCAGCUCUGGGAUUUGGGAUUUGGGAAUGGCAGCUCUGGGAUUUGGGAUUUGGGAAUGGCAGCUCUGGGAUUUGGGGAAUGGCAGCUCUGGGAUUUGGGAUUUGGGAAUGGCAGCUCUGGGAUUUGGGAUUUGGGGAAUGGCAGCUCUGGGAUUUGGGGAAUGGCAGCUCUGGGAUUUGGGAUUUGGGGAAUGGCAGCUCUGGGAUUUGGGAAUGGCAGAGUUGGUCUGGGAUUUGGGAUUUGGGGAAUGGCAGCUCUGGGAUUUGGGAUUUGGGGAAUGGCAGCUCUGGGAUUUGGGAUUUGGGAAUGGCAGCUCUGGGAUUUGGGGAAUGGCAGCUCUGGGAUUUGGGAUUUGGGGAAUGGCAGCUCUGGGAUUUGGGAUUUGGGAAUGGCAGCUCUGGGAUUUGGGGAAUGGCAGCUCUGGGAUUUGGGGAAUGGCAGCUCUGGGAUUUGGGAUUUGGGAAUGGCAGCUCUGGGAUUUGGGAUUUGGGGAAUGGCAGCUCUGGGAUUUGGGGAAUGGCAGCUCUGGGAUUUGGGGAUUUGGGGAAUGGCAGCUCUGGGAUUUGGGAUUUGGGGAAUGGCAGCUCUGGGAUUUGGGAUUUGGGAAUGGCACCUCUGGGAUUUGGGAUUUGGGGGAUUUGGAAUUUGGGGAA